rnacentral:lncRNA from 1 species
UCAUCACUUAGUGAAAGAUUUGAAUCCAAAAAAUGUUCAAAAUUCCAUCCAACUCUCCACUUAGCAAACCAAGCCUUAACCAAAUUGUUGAAAGUUAUUCAACUACCUAAACAUAGAGCGACCAUCAAGUCAAUUCAGCAAGACUAAUAACAACCCCCAUCUUGACCUGACAUCCACCCCAGUAGUAAGGUAGGAAAUUGAUGAAACAGUGAUGUUUAAAUCAGAAACACCCAAGUAAUUUACCAAACAAUGGUUCAAGCAACGUCUUCAUAGCUCAAAAAGCGAGGUUGAUUUCAGACGAU